rnacentral:rRNA from 1 species
UGGCGGCAGGCCUAACACAUGCAAGUCGAACGGUAACAGGAAGCAGCUUGCUGCUUCGCUGACGAGUGGCGGACGGGUGAGUAAUGUCUGGGAAACUGCCUGAUGGAGGGGGAUAACUACUGGAAACGGUAGCUAAUACCGCAUAAYGUCGCAAGACCAAAGAGGGGGACCUUCGGGCCUCUUGCCAUCGGAUGUGCCCAGAUGGGAUUAGCUWGUAGGUGGGGUAACGGCUCACCUAGGCGACGAUCCCUAGCUGGUCUGAGAGGAUGACCAGCCACACUGGAACUGAGACACGGUCCAGACUCCUACGGGAGGCAGCAGUGGGGAAUAUUGCACAAUGGGCGCAAGCCUGAUGCAGCCAUGCCGCGUGUAUGAAGAAGGCCUUCGGGUUGUAAAGUACUUUCAGCGGGGAGGAAGGGAGUAAAGUUAAUACCUUUACUCAUUGACGUUACCCGCAGAAGAAGCACCGGCUAACUCCGUGCC